rnacentral:rRNA from 1 species
UACGUAGGGUGCGAGCGUUAAUCGGAAUUACUGGGCGUAAAGCGUGCGCAGGCGGUUUUGUAAGCCAGGUGUGAAAUCCCCGGGCUCAACCUGGGAAUGGCAUUUGGGACUGCAAGGCUGGAGUGCGGCAGAGGAGACUGGAAUUCCUGGUGUAGCAGUGAAAUGCGUAGAUAUCAGGAGGAACACCGAUGGCGAAGGCAGGUCUCUGGGCUGACACUGACGCUCAUGCACGAAAGCGUGGGGAGCGAAACAAGGAUUGAUAGACCCUA